UAAAAAAAGAUUUGAUUUGUUAAAGUGAAAGAUUACUAUUCGUUAAAUGUUAAAUAAAUUUUAAAAAUUAUAUUAAAAGAAAAUAAAAAAAGUUUUUAGGACUCAUUUUGCUGAAGAAGCUUUCAUUUUUGAAUACUUCGUUUUCAUGAAGCUUGGCACGAUUUGGAAAGAAAACAAAGUACUUGAUCCACGUUGUACGUUUUAGAAUCGGUGCCAAGGUAGCGGAAGCUGUAGAAAAGCUAUACAUGCCGUAUUCGUCCGUUGGGAUUCUAAUGACGAUUAUCGUUGAAAUAAGCUCGAAUCCCUCCACGUUUAACUAACGCGUCAUCAACUGUAUUUAAAAAUAUCGUUGUGACUCUCAAGAGAGACAUUGGAUGGAGGGGGCGCCGACGAAAGUUCAAAUUUCUUAGUUCUUUGUUGUGUCCGCGUAAUACGUUUAUUUGGAUUCUCGGGGGCAUCGCUUCGAAGUCUCGCUUUCGAGACGUUAAAAGAGAUUUCUUUGACAUUUUUUGCCAUUGCAAAUAAUCUCGAUGAUAUUAUUUUACAUCGAUAUGAUUCAUUUAUUCGUUGUCGUUUUAACAUGUCAUUUUAAAUACGAUAUUAUACAAAAUAAAUUUAAUAUUCUUUUCCUUUCUUUCUUUUAUUUUUUCUUUUUUUCUUCCAAAUGAAAAAUAUAAUUUUAACCACAUAAGUUCAAUGAUAUUUUCAGACAAAUUUAAUAAAAAAUAUGAUACGCAGAGAUAUUGAAAAAGCAAUAACAUCACAGUGAGAUAAAAUUUUACGUACAUAUAGAUAUAGCGUAUACAUAAAAAUCUAUAUGUGUAUGUAUGUACAUGUACGUCGAUAUUUAUCGGCAUUUAUUCCGUAUAAAAAUCUUAUAGAUUACAUCGUAUCGUUGUUUAUUAACUAAUCAGAUAUUAUCGAGAGUGAAUAAUCGAAUUAUCCUUUUGAUAAUGUUGUUAAGGAUAUUAAGGAACUUUAAUAUUAAUAUAAUAAAAACGAUUUCCGAAAUAUUACAAAAUUUAGAUAAUUUUGUAUAAUCAGACUAUUCUACAUAGCAUCGACAACGACGUUGGAAUAAAUAUAUCUACAUAUAUGUUUCACUCUUCACGUUCUAAUUAGACGAUGCGUCGAGCGGCUUCCGCUUCUACGUCAAAGAGUCGCCUUUGUUGAGUGCUUUCGUCGUAAAUAAAUAUAAUGUUGAUUACAAAGACGAGAACGGAAUUAAUACGAGUUUGGAAUUCAUCGGCGCCAAAAGUUCAACGCAGAGGCGCUUAUCUGUAUGUUCUCCUCCGCAAGAUUCAGAAAAUGCGUGGGACGUGACUCAUGAAAGUAGUCGUGAAUGCCAGAAAGGACCAUGGUUCUCGUUCGAGGCAUGCUAUCUCGAGUUGCUUCUCGCUCUUCUCACUUCCUGGUUGAUUAGAGUCGACGUUGGACGACAGUUCGACGCAGCAUCAGUGUUCUACGAAAAGAGCAUGCAUCAUCCCGUAACAGCACUCUCUGCCGACAACGACCACAAUGCUGUGUGAAAGAAAAAAGUAAAGAAAGAAAGAAAGAAAUGAAAAAGAAGAGGAAAAAAAAGAAAGGGAACAAAAGAAAAAAAGAGAAAUCAAGACCGUUUCUCGAUAGACUUACGGCGGAUGUUUGACUCAUCAUUAUACUUUAUCGAAGCAUUAAUAAUCUCAAACCUUUUUAGAAUUAACCGCGUUAUUCCCGUUAAUUUUAUUCUUGCGAUAGUUCGAUUAUAAGUUACGACUUUUCGGUAAUUUACUAUUUUUCUUUUUACUCUUUCUCUUUAUUUCAACGAUGAGAAAUAUUGUUAUUAACUUUUGAAUUAAUUAAAAGUCAGUUUCCUGCAUUUGUAUCGGGAACGCGUUAAGAGAAACAGAAAGAAAAAGAGAUAGAGAAAGAGAGUGAGAGAGAGAGAGAGAGAGAGAGAGAGAGAGAAAUGAAUUCUCGCUGAACGGAUCUACUUUCACGAAUCGAUCCAUCGAAUUUUUCGUUCCGCAAGAUUUUACGAAAGCGUCCGACUUUCCUCGUCACGGCCUAUCGAGGAAAUCUAGUUAGUUUCCACGUUUCUCUGGAAGAUUCGGAGAUUUAAAAAAAUGUUUGCUUUUCGAUCAUUUCCAUAUACAUUUGUAUGUAUCUCGUUUGAAAGAAACAUAUGUCGAAAAUGAACCAAUAGUUAUUGCAUUUCGUUUAUCACGUUUAUUUUUAGAAGCUUAGAAAUCCUCAUGAAUGUGUAAAAAGGAAUGAAAAUUAACAAGAGAAUAAUUUAUGUUUCGAAUAGAUGAUCAAUUGUCCAUUUCUCGAGAAAAAUAAUUUAACUCAAUAUAUACAUAUAUAUAUAUAUAUAUAUAUAUAUAUGAAUAAGAUCCACGAUUAAGUAUCCGUAAUAUUAAAUUGUGUGCGUGUAUAUAUAUACACACACAUUACAUAUAGGUAAAUAAAUCAACAACGGUAUAAAGAUUUCGUGUUUUAACGUAAAGCAGUAUGGCUAAACCGGAAAUUCGAUAUCACACCGAGCUUGUAACUUUAAGCCAAGUACUCUGUUUAUGAUAUGUAUUUGUACAUGAUUUAUAGAGAAAAUUGCUAAGCAUCAUAUAUAUAUGUAAUAUAUAUAUAUAUAUAUAUACUAUAUAUUACAUGGUUACCUUUUCUACGACUCUCCUAUAUACUCCUCUUCAUCUGAUCUUUUUUUGAAUAUAAAUUCUGCUUUAAA